rnacentral:rRNA from 1 species
AUUGAACGCUGGCGGCAUGCUUUACACAUGCAAGUCGAACGGUAACAGGCCGCAAGGUGCUGACGAGUGGCGAACGGGUGAGUAAUGCAUCGGAACGUGCCCAGUCGUGGGGGAUAACGCAGCGAAAGCUGUGCUAAUACCGCAUACGAUCUAUGGAUGAAAGCGGGGGCCCGUAAGGCCUCGCGCGAUUGGAGCGGCCGAUGUCAGAUUAGGUAGUUGGUGGGGUAAAGGCUCACCAAGCCAACGAUCUGUAGCUGGACUGAGAGGACGACCAGCCACACUGGGACUGAGACACGGCCCAGACUCCUACGGGAGGCAGCAGUGGGGAAUUUUGGACAAUGGGCGCAAGCCUGAUCCAGCAAUGCCGCGUGCAGGGAGAAGGCCUUCGGGUUGUAAACUGCUUUUGUACGGAACGAAAAGGUUUGGGUUAAUACCCUGGGCCGAUGACGGUACCGUAAGAAUAAGCACCGGCUAACUACGUGCCAGCCGCCGCAGUAACAC